rnacentral:misc_RNA from 1 species
GAUGAAGAACGCAGCGAAAUGCGAUAAGUAAUGUGAAUUGCAGAAUUCAGUGAAUCAUCGAAUCUUUGAACGCACAUUGCGCCCGCCAGUAUUCUGGCGGGCAUGCCUGUUCGAGCGUCAUUUCAACCAUCAAGCCCCCGGGCUUGUGUUGGGGACCUGCGGCUGCCGCAGGCCCUGAAAAGCAGUGGCGGGCUCGCUGUCACACCGAGCGUAGUAGAUUUUAUCUCGCUCUGGGCGUGCUGCGGGUUCCGGCCGUUAAACCACCCUUAUAACCCAAGGUUGACCUCGGAUCAGGUAGGAAGACCCGCUGAACUUAAGCAUAUCAAUAAGCGGAGGA